rnacentral:snRNA from 1 species
UGUGUAGAUGACUCCUAGGUCUAUCUGUCACUCCACUUAUCUCCAGGGUUGAUUUGGCUGAUCUGGCUGGCUAGGUGGGGAUCCCCUUCCUCCCUCACCACUUCAUGUUCGUCCCUCCUGAAGCUGCAAGCUCAGUUGAAGAGGGAGCCCUUCCCUAUAGAGACUUAUCUUCCUUUGGUCAAGGGAACAGAAGUAACUGGGCUUGCCUACUAGAAUAUAACCCUAAUCUCUCAAACUCUACUCCAUCGUCAUCUAACUCAAUUAUGUCUAAAACAAGACUCAUUAUCUUCCCUCCAUAAAGA